rnacentral:lncRNA from 1 species
AGAAGCAGGAGGGGGAGAAGGAGAAGAGGAAGAGGAAGAAGAAGGAGGAGAAGGAGGAGGAGGAGGAGGAAGGGGAAGAAGAACAAGAAGAGGAGGAGGAGGAAGAAGAGGAAGAACAAGAAGAAGAAGAAGGAGAGGGAGGGGGAGGAGGAGGGGGAGGAGAAGAAGAAGAAGAAGAAGAAGAAGAAGAAGAAGAAGAAGAAGAAGAAGGAGGAGGAGGAGGAGGAGGAGGAGAAGGGGAGGAAGAAGAAAGUGAGGAAGACAAAGAAGGAAAACAAGAAUAAGAACAGGAGGGAGGAGAAGCAGGAGGGAGAGAAGGAGAAGAGGAAGAGGAAGAAGGAGGAGGAGGAAGAGGAAGAACAAGAAGAAGAAGAAGGAGAGGGAGGGGGAGGAGGAGGGGGAGAAGAAGAAGAAGAAGAAGAAGAGGAAGAAGAAGAAGAAGAAGAAGAAGAAGAAGAAGAAGAAGAAGAAGAAGAAGAAGAAGAAGAAGGAGGAGGAGGAGAGGAAGAAGAAAGGGAGGAAGACGAAGAAGGAGAACAAAAAGAACAAGAACAGGAGGGAGGAGAAGCAGAAGGAGGACGAGGAGUAGGAGAAGGAGGAGGGGGAGGAGGAGAAGAAGAAAAAGAAGGUGGGGGAGGAGGAGAAAGAGGAGGAGGAGGAGAAGGCAGUGAUGAUGAUGUUGAACCUAUUGCUCAAUUUAGGUCUGUGCUUAGUGAUAAACCUACAUCGGAGGCAAUAUUCGCUGCAAUGUGUGAAUGCCAGGCUUUGCAUCCAGAUCCUGAGGGUGAAGAUUCAGACGACCAC